AUUGAACGCUGGCGGCAGGCCUAACACAUGCAAGUCGAACGGUAACAGGAAGAAGCUUGCUUCUUUGCUGACGAGUGGCGGACGGGUGAGUAAUGUCUGGGAAACUGCCUGAUGGAGGGGGAUAACUACUGGAAACGGUAGCUAAUACCGCAUAACGUCGCAAGACCAAAGAGGGGGACCUUCGGGCCUCUUGCCAUUGGAUGGGCCCAGAUGGGAUUAGCUAGUAGGUGGGGUAACGGCUCACCUAGGCGACGAUCCCUAGCUGGUCUGAGAGGAUGACCAGCCACACUGGAACUGAGACACGGUCCAGACUCCUACGGGAGGCAGCAGUGGGGAAUAUUGCACAAUAGGCGCAAGCCUGAUGCAGCCAUGCCGCGUGUAUGAAGAAGGCCUUCGGGUUGUAAAGUACUUUCAGCGGGGAGGAAGGGAGUAAAGUUAAUACCUUUGCUCAUUGACGUUACCCGCAGAAGAAGCACCGGCUAACUCCGUG
rnacentral:rRNA from 1 species